UACAGAGGGUGCGAGCGUUGUCCGGAAUUACUGGGCGUAAAGGGCGCGUAGGCGGCUUGGUAAGUCGGGGGUGAAAGUCAGCGGCUCAACCGCUGGACUGCCUUCGAGACUGCCUGGCUUGAGCAUGGUAGAGGCUGGCGGAAUUCCCGGUGUAGCGGUGGAAUGCGUAGAGAUCGGGAAGAACAUCGGUGGCGAAGGUGGCCAGCUGGGCCAUUGCUGACGCUGAUGCGCGACAGCGUGGGGAGCAAACAGG
rnacentral:rRNA from 1 species